rnacentral:lncRNA from 1 species
GUUAAGUUGUAAUUACUAACUAAUUUUUCAUGAGCUAUAAAUGAAAAGAUCCCAACAAGGACGUGAAUGGGUUGUGGGAAACGAACCUAUCCUCUAGAAUUGAUGUACAAGUAUGGUGCAUAGUAUAGGAUACGGAAUAUGAUCUGUGCUCUUGGGCAAUAUGGUAUGGAUUUCAACAUGCAUGGAGACUUCGAAAUUGGUGAGAAUGGGCUCAAUCUGAGUGGAAGUUACAAAUCUAGCCCAGCAAGGAAUGUUUUGGCUCUUUAGUCUCCUUGUGAAAUGUCCACAUUGGCAAGUAUAACCCUUUUGUAAAGUCCGUUAGCGAAAAGGAAUUGUGAUAGAUUUGUAAUUAAUAAUGGAACAUUAGUUUUUGUUUCAUUUUCUUAUUAAUAUUUAUGUAUGGGUGUUUCUUCAAGUCUUUAAGUAGUUGAUAAUUUUAUAAAUUGUAAGAGUUUGACUAAGUGCCGAAUCUCGUG